rnacentral:misc_RNA from 1 species
UCCGUUUCUUCCUCCGAUUCGAGUAAAACCCUCCCUCGCUUCACUCCGCCAGCAACUCUUGCCGUGUCUUCAGCCGCAAAUUUAUAAUGGCUGCUGCCAAUGGCUCUAGUGACUUGUAUUCAGAGAUGGAGGUGGACGCAUUUAGACGUCUUUUCCCUUUGCGCUAUCAUGAGCAGCAUCUUCUCAAAUCGGUCCGACCUGAUGCUCGAAAGCUUGGAAGUGCUAGAGAUACAACACUUGCGCUUGGUGCCGUGGCCUCUGCUGAGGGAUCAGCACUGGCAAAGAUUGGCUCCACUACGAUGCUGGCCGCCAUCAAAAUGGAAAUCAUGACACCAACUGUUGAAUGUCCAGAUGAGGGAUCCAUAGCUAUCGAAUUUCACAUGCCUCCCAUUUGUUCUCCCCUUGUACGGCCUGGUAGGCCUGCAGAGGCAGCAUCAGUAAUUUCUAAGCAGCUGUCAGACACUAUCUUGAGUUCUGGCAUGAUUGACUUGAAAGAGUUGUGCUUGGUUGGAGGAAAAGCUGCAUGGAUGGCCUACCUGGACAUAUACUGUUUGGAUGCUGACGGUUCUCUGUUUGACGCUGCAUUACUAUCUGCAGUUGCUGCCUUUUCGCAUUUGAACAUUCCAGUAGUGUCUUUGAAUGAAGAUGGGCGAAUAGUUCUUGUCUCUGAGGACAAUAACCAGUUGAAAUUGGAGAAGCAGCCUGUCAAUACAGAGAAAAGAAAACUAAAAUUGAACUCUCCACCAUUCUCCUUAACGUGCUUACUUCACAAGAACUACAUCCUAGCAGAUCCUACAGCAGAGGAAGAAUCUAUAAUGGAAACGGCUGUAACUGUGGUAUUGGAUUCGUCCUACCAGCUUGUUUCACUUUAUAAACCAGGGGGACCAGUUCAUGCCCAUACAUCAGUCAUCCAGGAUUGUGUCGCACUGGCAAAACGCAGAGUGAAAGAGCUUCAGAGCGUCUUAAAUGAAGCUAUUUCUGAUAUGGAGGUUGAGUGAAGUAGAUUUUCCUUGCACUAUACUUAAUAUUCAGCAGACAGCUGGUUUCAUCUUUAGGAUUAAGUUCCUGAACAGCUGAACUAGUGUACUUUUUCGGGUAAAUGCCUUAGAAAGGUAGCUCUGGUAGCCAUUGCUUGCAAAUACAAUUCUG